rnacentral:misc_RNA from 1 species
GGGACUACAAGGGUAUCUAAUCCUGUUUGCUCCCCACGCUUUCGCACCUCAGCGUCAAUACCGGUCCAGUGAGCCGCCUUCGCCACUGGUGUUCUUCCGAAUAUCUACGAAUUUCACCUCUACACUCGGAAUUCCACUCACCUCUCCCGGAUUCAAGCGAUGCAGUCUUAAAGGCUAUUCCGGAGUUGAGCUCCGGGCUUUCACCUCUAACUUACAAAGCCGCCUACGUGCGCUUUACGCCCAGUAAUUCCGAACAACGCUAGCUCCCUCCGUAUUACCGCGGCUGCUGGCAC